GCAGGCAGGCACCCACCAACCCAUGCUUCCCGCCUGGCGCACAGCUGGGCCCGCUACCCGGAACCCAGGCUUUUCACUCACCCCAGCUCCACAGAAGGUGCCAGGACCCGAGGCCCCAGCCCACUGAGUGGCAGGCCACCCCCUAGACCCAACCUCUGGGCUGGCACAUUCCCCCUACGUGUCUGCUUUCGCUAGCCUCUGCUUUUCUUCUUCGCUCCACCUCCGGGUGGAGGUGAAACCAAAGCCGCACCUCCGCAGGGUGCUUUGGUAGCGGAAGAAGCUGGUGCUCAAGCCACUCUUCCUUUGUGUGUGCGAUAUACCCGAACAGUGGAAUAUUAUUCAGCCUUGUAACAGGAGGAAAUUAUCCCGUUUUGUGACAAUACGUUGAGGAACCUGGAGGACAUUGUGCCAAGUGAAUAAGCCAAUUACGGAAGGACAAAUACUGCAUGAUUCCGCUUACAUCAGGAUUCUGACGAAUUUGAAGUGACUUCACUCAUCCAAGACAAGGCAACUUGAUCUGUCCUGUUUCAUACUGUCUUAAGCCUGUAUCGUAUGUCCCAGGGGAAAACAGUUUCCUUACAAAAGUUGGAGCUGAUGACCUGGUACUUGUUUUUAUGGCUUCCUCCUGAGUGUGAACUUCCCUAAUCCCAUGUGCCAAGUGCAGUAAAAAAUAA